rnacentral:rRNA from 1 species
CGGGACGGGUGAGUAAUGCCUAGGAAUCUGCCUGGUAGUGGAGGACAACGUUUCGAAAGGAACGCUAAUACCGCAUACGUCCUACGGGAGAAAGCAGGGGACCUUCGGGCCUUGCGCUAUCAGAUGAGCCUAGGUCGGAUUAGCUAGUUGGUGAGGUAAUGGCUCACCAAGGCGACGAUCCGUAACUGGUCUGAGAGGAUGAUCAGUCACACUGGAACUGAGACACGGUCCAGACUCCUACGGGAGGCAGCAGCU